CCUAUCUGUGUGCUCCUGAGGCAGGAGCUUGGUCCCCUCUGCUCUAUUAGAUGAUCUUCCCUGCCCCCCUCUCCCGUGUGGGCAGCUUGAUCCCCCUCUCUUCCCGGGUCGGAGCUGAGGAUAGCACCCGCGAGCCGUCCGCAGGAGCGCUGUCGGGGCCAAGCGCCUAGGGAGCUGGUUACACAAGCAGCCACAUCCAAGCACGUGCCCCCGCCACCCCUCUCUGCUGGCCGCCGCCGGUUUGUGCACGCUGACGCGGAGAGUCCCCAAGCUGUUCCUCCCUUUCGCUUGUAACCCAUAGAGCUAGCGAGAAGGCCGGGACACGAGACUCCUGUUCUGGAUCUGCCCACACCGCGCGUUCCCAACCGUGGGAGAAGAGGCCGGGCCCUGGAGGGUAGCCGGGGCGGGGGGGUGCGGUUAACGCAUCUCCUUCGCUUAAUGAGGUGAACCCUUUCUAGAUGUGUACUCGCGGGGCAAAAGGGUAUCUCCUGUUGCUGCUGGCUGCUUGGGCUUACCGAUGUUGCAACAAACUUCCAGUCACUGCCCCUGAACUGGUGAACGCGCCCCACCUACCGUAGACUCAGCCAAGUGACUUAUCUGAGCACCUAGUCAAUGGCUGUCAGCCCAGAACAAACCUGUCAAGUUAAAGCUUACUGUCGGGAUUGGCUGACCUGUCGCGGUUGAGAGAGCUGGUUCAGAAAGGCUGAUAACUAGCCUACAGCCCCUCCUCCCCCACCAGCCAGCCACAAAGCAAGCGAUCACCUUGAGCUUGGAGAAAAAUGACAUCAACUCCAAUGCAUCUUGUGUGACAUCACUUUGAGUGUCUCAGAAGCUCGGAAAGUCUUCCUCUAAAGAAAAAGACAUUCAUCCCUAAGCUUCCUGAUGCCUGGCUGGAGGUAAAAGGAUCCUUUCUGUUUCCAGAGCAUCACUCUAUAGAGCACAGGGGUGCACAUCACAGCGCUGAACGUGCACAUCACAGCGCUGAAGGGCUGGAACGUGACCCCAGCCCACAAACGCCACCAAGUGAAGCAAGACAGCUUUGAAAAGCAGCUAGCUGCUGCUCCCCUGCUCAUCAGGCCCUGCUACUCUGCAGCGGUGAAUGAGCAGGCACGCUGCGUUGGCAGGUGUGUGGUCCCUCUGACAUCAGCUGGCCACGCACACAACAUCAGGUCUGGUUGGGAGUUUCUAAAUAAACCCCCACUUCUUUUCACGGCAUUAAAUAUGUUUCUGUGCA